rnacentral:rRNA from 1 species
AGCAGCCGCGGUAAUUCCAGCUCCAAUAGCGUAUAUUAAAGUUGUUGCAGUUAAAAAGCUCGUAGUUGAAUUUCGGGAUCAGUUGAUCGGUCGUGCCUCGGUACGUACUGGUCAAAUUGAUUCCUACCUUCUGACGAACCACGAUGUCAUUAAUUUGGUGUCGUGGGAAAUCAGGACUGUUACUUUGAAAAAAUUAGAGUGUUUAAAGCAGGCUCGCGCUUGAAUACAUUAGCAUGGAAUAAUGAAAUAGGACGUUUGAUUCUAUUUUGUUGGUUUCUAGGAUCGACGUAAUGAUUAAUAGGGAUAGUUGGGGGCAUUAGUAUUCAAUUGUCAGAGGUGAAAUUCUUGGAUUUAUUGAAGACUAACUACUGCGAAAGCAUUUGCCAAGGAUGUUUUCAUUAAUCAAGAACGAAAGUUAGGGGAUCGAAGACGAUCAGAUACCGUCGUAGUCUUAACCAUAAACUAUGCCGACUAGGGAUCGGAUGAUGUUA